GCUGGUGUAGCUCAGCUGGUAGAGCAGCUCACUCGUAAUGAGCAGGUCCGCGGUUCGAGUCCGCGCACCAGCUCCA
rnacentral:tRNA from 1 species